CGUUCCACGGGGGAGAUCCCCAAAGGGAGAAAAUCAGCGGGAAAGCGGAAAACGGGAAAAACUGCAAUGCGGGAACGGAAAAGCGGGUGCUUUGGAAUAAUGCUCCACAUAUGCUGGUCAAACAUUGUCCCGCUGGUUGGAGUUUGGCAGUGCAAAGCUUUCCCCCAUUGCCUUUCCCAUAAAUCAACACUAUUCAUUUUCCGAUAGAUCACGAAUAAUUGUUAUUGUUGUUAUUUAUGCCCCAUCUCUUUUGCGGCCACUGAUUUUCGGUUGUCAGUGUUUAUUUUUCGGCGUUUCGGCGUUUUCCAAUCCGUAUCACAGCUUGUAAUGCCCCCUCAAUUUCAUAUUCACAAUGCAAGCCACACUUUUGCAAGUUCUUUUGUGAGAGCAGCAGAGAGAGUGUAAGGAUAAAGCCAGGACGAACAAAAGCCCUCAUUCGGGGACCGAUGGCUCUGAUGGCUAUGAUGGCCAUUUUGUGGGUCAAUCAAUUUUUGACGCAUUCGAACAAUAGGAGGACGGAUAAAUGCGAUUUAUAAAGUGCGGUCGGUCGGGUGCAUUCGUUGUUAAAUUAGGCGUGUGCUGUGCAAUGCGGACGUGUAUUGUGUAUUGUGUAUUGUGAAUUAUGGCAAUUAAAUAGUUAAGACUCUUAUGGAAA